rnacentral:rRNA from 1 species
CCUACGGGUGGCAGCAGUGAGGAAUAUUGGUCAAUGGGCGCGAGCCUGAACCAGCCAAGUAGCGUGAAGGAUGACUGCCCUACGGGUUGUAAACUUCUUUUAUAAAGGAAUAAAGUGCGGCAAGUAUGACUUUUUGUAUGUACUUUAUGAAUAAGGAUCGGCUAACUCCGUGCCAGCAGCCGCGGUAAUACGGAGGAUCCGAGCGUUAUCCGGAUUUAUUGGGGUUAAAGGGAGCGUAGAUGGGUUGUUAAGUCAGUUGUGAAAGUUUGCGGCUCAACCGUAAAAUUGCAAUUGAUACUGGCAGCCUUGAGUACAGUAGAGGUAGGCGGAAUUCGUGGUGUAGCGGUGAAAUGCUUAGAGAUCACGAAGAACUCCGAUUGCGAAGGCAGCUUACUAAACUGCCACUGACAUUGAUGCUCGAAAGUGUGGGUAUCAAACAGGAUUAGAUACCCGUGUAGUC